rnacentral:misc_RNA from 1 species
UCCGGUUUGGCACCUGUGUUCCGGCUCCCUUUCGGGCACCCCUCCAUCUCUGGAGGGUUCCGUACAUGUCAAGGGUAGGUAAGGUUUUUCGCGUUGCAUCGAAUUAAUCCACAUAAUCCACCGCUUGUGCGGGUCCCCGUCAAUUCCUUUGAGUUUUAACCUUGCGGCCGUACUCCCCAGGCGGUCAACUUCACGCGUUAGCUUCGUUACCAAGGAAUUGCUUCCCCGACAACCAGUUGACAUAGUUUAGGGCGUGGACUAC